UCUCCCAUGCUAAGAAUAAGCUCCACUGGGCUCCCCUCUCCGAACUCGAUCCUCUCGAAAACCCUACUCCGACACGACCGACCGUGGAGCCCACCCCGCCGUUCCCUCUCCGCCGGCGCGAGCUUGUCGGCGGCGAUGUCGACCCGGAUGGCUCGAUGGCUUCACCGUACAAAUCAAGCUCCGCCACUGGAUGCCGCCACGACGCCGCCGCACACCGCAGCACGGCCUACAGCAACCUGCAGAACCCGAUUCGGUAAUCAGGUGAGAUUUCAGGAGCUCUGAUUCUGCUGGAGGUAUUGUAUGGUCUGUAGUGUAUACAACUGUCAACAGAUGCCGUCCCUACAAUGCAUUUUAUCAGUGCAAACCAAGCAGUAAUAUCCCCUGCAACUGCAACGUUAUAGACCAUCUAGUCUCGUUUAGUAGAGUUCGGUGAGAAAUUCUAUUGAAAUUCGGCCAUAAAUUUAAGUUGAAUUAUGGUUGUCCUUGUGAUAUUGAUGUGAGCUGCUUGCACUAGUAUUUCUAAAAUUUUUCACUUAAUGCAUAUCUGACCAACUAUCAUCUGAUCUGAAAUGGUUUGCCUUGUUAAUGUAGUGUGAUUUAGACAUUUAGUGCGAAUUUUCUGGGAACUGGAUUGCCUUUCAUUAAUAUUGGUAUGCAUCAGUACAACAUUCCUAUUUACCGCAGAAUGACUGAAAUAUGAGUGCCAAUUUCUCAUUCGCAACUAGCUCACACGGCAGAUACAUUCUUCACGGCAGUUAAUAUGCCUCAGAUACAAGGAAAUGGUCUUGGGGGCUCAAAUGUUUUAGACCACGUAGUGAGGCUUUAAAUGCUGAAAGUUAUUCAGUCCUGCCCACGGUCUUGGAUGCCGCCAUGGUGCCACCGCAGCCCAGCCCACAGCAACUUCAGAACCCGCUUCGGUAAUCAGCUAACUGUACAAAGGUUUGGUAUGCCGGAGCCAAAGGUUGAAGUGGCCCUUAGUUUUUGAACUUGUGAUCCAAAGUUGAUGAGGCCAUCAUGAUAAAGGCAAAACUACACCCUUUAGUGCUUGAAGUUUCAAUGAUCCAUUCCUCCUUUCAUCUGGGCACUCAUCGUUAUUGUCAUAUGGAGUUUCCACAUGGACCACAAGCUGCUCAAGGUGGUUCGAGUGUUUGCAUGGUACCAGAAGACCGUACACUGACGCAACAAGCACAAGAUUUGCCAUGACGCCCAAAUGUUAUCUCUGGCGUUCCCUUUGUUCUUAGAGCUGACAAACCUUUCCAUUGUUCUCGUCAGUGCAGUACCUUCUUCUACACCCCAUGUUUGAUCUGUAUAGCUGCUAGCCUGCUACUGAAACCCUGUUGCACAAUGCGAACUGGCCCGUACCUGGAGUGC